UUGAUAAUGGGUUGAAUGCGC
rnacentral:miRNA from 1 species